rnacentral:rRNA from 1 species
AGAGUUUGAUCAUGGCUCAGAACCAUCGCUGGCGGCGUGGAUAAGACAUGCAAGUCGGACGAGAUUUUUUUCUGUAGCAAUACGGGGAAAAGUCUAGUGGCCAUCGGGUGCUUAACACGUGGGCAACCUGCCGAGAAGUGGGGGAUAGCUCGCCCAUAGGCCAUUUAAUACCGCAUGUGAUCAGAGUGGACAUCCAUUCCAUAUCAGAGUCGGGGCAACCUGACGCUUCUUGAGGGGCCCGCGGCCUAUCAGCUAGUUGGUGAGGUAACGGUCCACCAAGGCUUUGACGGGUAGCUGGUCUGAGAGGACGACCAGCCACACUGGGACUGAGACACGGCCCAGACACCUACGGGUGGCAGCAGUCGAGAAUUUUUCUCAAUGGGGGAAACCCUGAAGGAGCGACGCCGCGUGGAGGAUGAAGGUCUUCGGAUUGUAAAUUCCUGUCAUUGGGGAACAAUGCGUAGAUAUUAACUGUAUUUGCGUUGAUAGUACCCCAUGAGGAAGAGACGGCUAACUCUGUGCCAGCAGCCACGGUAAUACAGAGGUCUCAAGCGUUGUUCGGAUUCAUUGGGCGUAAAGGGUGCGUAGGCGGCGCGGUAAGUCGGGUGUGAAAUCUCGGAGCUUAACUCCCAUACUGCAUUCGAUACUGCCGUGCUUGAGGACUGGAGAGGAGACUGGAAUUUACGGUGUAGCGGUGAAAUGCGUAGAUAUCGUAAGGAAGACCAGUGGCCAUGGCGGGUCUCUGGACAGUUCCUGACGCUGAGGCACCAUGGCCAGGGGAGCAAACGGGAUUAGAUACCCCGGUAGUCCUGGCAGUAAACGGUGCACGUUUGGUGUGGGAGGAUUCGACCCCUUCUGCGCCGGAGCUAACGCGUUAAACG